rnacentral:rRNA from 1 species
AGUCGUAACGAGGUACCCGUAGGUCUUAACCGGGUACCCGUAAAGUUUGAUCAGGGCUCAGAAAAUUUUUAACAGGGGUCCCUAAUGCCUAGGAAUCUGCCCGGUAAUGUUGGAUCACGUUUCCAAAGGAACGCUAAUACCGCAUACUUCCUACGGGAGAAAGCAGGGGACCUUCGGGCCUUGCUUUAUCGGAUGAGCCUAGGUCGGAUUAGCUAGUUGGUGAGGUAAUGGCUCACCAAGGCGACGAUCCGUAACUGGUCUGAGAGGAUGAUCAGUCACACUGGAACUGAGACACGGUCCAAACUCCUACGGGAGGCAGCAGUGGGGAAUAUUGGACAAUGGGCGAAAGCCUGAUCCAGCGAUGCCGCGUGUGUGAAAAAGGUCUUCGGAUUGUAAAGCACUUUAAGUUGGGAGGAAGGGCAGUCAGUUAAUACCUUGCUGUCUUGACGUUACCAACAGAAUAAGCACCGGCUAACUUCGUGCCAGCAGCCGCGGUAAUACGAAGGGUGCAAGCGUUAAUCGGAAUUACUGGGCGUAAAGCGCGCGUAGGUGGUUCAGCAAGUUGGAUGUGAAAUCCCCGGGCUCAACCUGGGAACUGCAUCCAAACUACUGAGCUAGAGUACGGUAGAUGAGUGGUGGAAUUUCCUGUGUAGCGGUGAAAUGCGUAAAUAUAGGAAGGAACACCAGUGGCGAAGGCGACCACCUGGGAC